AUGAUCACUGCUCACGCAAUCACACACCUAACAACAGUGGUAUGGUUAGGGUCCACAGUUAGUGUGAUACCACACAAUCACACACCUAACAGUGGUAUGGCUAGGGUGAUACCACGCAAUCACACACCUAACAGUGGUAUGGUUAGGGUGAUACCACACAAUCACACACCUAACAACAGUGGUAUGGUUAGGGUGAUACCACGCAAUCACACACCUAACAGUGGUAUGGUUAGGGUGAUACCACACAAUCACACACCUAACAACAGUGGUAUGGUUAGGGUCCACAGUUAGUGUGAUACCACACAAUCCACUCACACAGGGUAAUGAUCUAAAUAGGGAACACAUGCGAUCUCAGUCACUUCCCCUCAACCCAACAAGGGUUUUAUAGAAAGUCUAAAUCUAUCAUAUGAUAGAGGAUGAAUGAGUCACUGCACAUGCAAAUCAGACCACAAUCCAAGAAUUGAGGGUUGAAAUCCGUGCGUUCAAUUAGGACCUCCAACCACAGUGUCAUGUUUGGGUUCAAACGUCACACCAAGCUGGGAUCACAACAAUCUAAAAUAAUCUUAUUCCAUCAAUGAUGCCUGAUUCCUCAUGUGUUUGGUUCUGGUGACCAUUUCAAUGGUUCCUCUAUGAGGCGAUAAUGUGUCCUCUGACGUACUGCUAUGCAAAUGGAACCCUAUUCCCUAUAUAGUGCACUACUUUUGACCAGAGCCUUAUGGAACCAGGUCAAAAGUAGUGCACUAAAUAGGGUAUAGGGUGCCAUUUGAGAGACAACCAUAUAGCGCUGUGUUACGUGGGUAGGGUUGAUUGGGGUGAUUCUCAUUUGACUGGGAGGAGUGAGUGUCGUCAUGGAAGGUCAGUUCUCUGAACGAAACAACGUAACAAAUCAAUUCUGCAAUUGGAAAAAACAAUGAAUCACAGAGGACUAUUAUAGACCUGUCCUCACAGAGGACACUCCACAUUCUUCCAUGACACCUCUAUUAUAGACCUCUCUGUGUGUGUGUGUGUGUGUGUGUGGUUUAAGGUCGUAGACUAUCACUUCAGCUUUAAUAGACAUCAGUACAGAUCAGAUGAUCAUGUAUAAUAGUGUAGUUAUGAGACACAGCUUCAACAGACAACACAACAACAGAAAGCGGUUUCAACAACACAUUUUCAUUCUACACCCUCCACCUACAGAGCCGCUGCAGGAGAAAGGAAUUAGGUGGUUCAACUUCAUUAUAAAGCUAAUACCAUGAACUCUUCAAUAUUAUUCAAAACCACCCAUCCAACCAUUUACAUUUGAUCCCUUACAGAGCUCUUAAGAUCAGAACAAUGUGACCAUUUACAAAGUGCAUGAUUUCAUUAGUCUGUGAAAAAAGGCAUAAUUACAUGUUUGAUACCAUUCUACUUUACAUGCCUAGUUCAAGCUUGAAGCAUUUAAAUGAGGUGACACCAAUGUCAGUUACAACAUUCAUAUUUACAGUAAUUACAUUAGAAUGAGUUGCUAAUAACAGACCCUGAAUCUCUGACAUACCAGUACAUGUUAAGUAGGUCGUUGUCAAAAACAGCUUCCCUGCAAAACCUGCACUCUUAAAUCAAAACAGUAAAUGGCUAUGCCUGUUUACCAUUCACACCAUUAUGGCUACGCCUGUCUACCAUUCACACCAUUAUGGCUACGCCUGUCUACCAUUCACACCAUUAUGGCUACGCCUGUUUACCAUUCACACCAUUAUGGCUACGCCUGUCUACCAUUCACACCAUUAUGGCUACGCCUGUCUACCAUUCACACCAUUAUGGCUACGCCUGUCUACCAUUCACACCAUUAUGGCUNNNNNNNNNNAGGAUGAAUGAGUCACUGCACAUGCAAAUCAGACCACAAUCCAAGAAUUGAGGGUUGAAAUCCGUGCGUUCAAUUAGGACCUCCAACCACAGUGUCAUGUUUGGGUUCAAACGUCACACCAAGCUGGGAUCACAACAAUCUAAAAUAAUCUUAUUCCAUCAAUGAUGCCUGAUUCCUCAUGUGUUUGGUUCUGGUGACCAUUUCAAUGGUUCCUCUAUGAGGCGAUAAUGUGUCCUCUGACGUACUGCUAUGCAAAUGGAACCCUAUUCCCUAUAUAGUGCACUACUUUUGA
rnacentral:lncRNA from 13 species